GCGGGUAUGGCGGAAUUGGUAUACGCGCCAGACUUAGGAUCUGGUGGGGAGACCCGUGGGGGUUCGAGUCCCUCUACCCGCA
rnacentral:tRNA from 2 species